rnacentral:miRNA from 1 species
UGAGAAGAAGAGGAAGAUAA